ensembl:snRNA U7 U7 small nuclear RNA
GAAAGUUUGCUCUUUUAGUAUUUCUCCAGAAGGUUUCCUCAAAGAGAAAUCCCCC